rnacentral:rRNA from 1 species
AAGGAAAAUAUAUUUAAGAACUUGUAUGGUACCUAUGAGGAGGCAUAUUCUUAUGCCCCUAGAAUGCUUCAUCAAAUAGCAAGUGCUAAUAGGGGGACUCAAGUUUGGCGGAGAGAACGUCCAAACCCAAUGAACCCGGGUGAGCUAAUCCUGGACCGCUUAUUCUGGGCAUUCGCCCAGACUAUACAAGCCUUCAGGCACUGUCGCCCGGUAUUAUCUGUUGAUGGUACCUUUCUCACUGGAAAGUACAAGGGCACACUAUUGGUGGCGAUUGCAGCGGAUGCAAAUAAUCAGCUUCUUCCUAUUGCAUAUGCAUUGGUCGAGAGCGAGAACAAAGAUAGCUGGUUGUGGUUCCUGAGCUGCGUGAAGAUGGGUGUCGUGAAAGAGCGUAAAGGUGUUUGCAUCAUUUCUGAUCGCAACACUGGAUUAUUAAGCGCUCUUGAAAUAAUUAAGGCGUCGGAAGAAGAGUGGGGCUGGCCCGAUCUAGAGGGAAGGUGGUGCAUGAGGCAUUUGGCAGCAAACUUUUACUCCAAAUUCAAAAACAAGGAUUGGUUCAAGUUAUUCAAGAGGAUGUGCAUGCAAAAAACUGUAGCCAAAAUGAAUGCGAUAUGGGCAGGUAUCAAUGGUGAGAUCGACCGCGCGGCCUUGCCGCAGAGAGAAGACCGGAGGGGUCGUAGGACGGUCAUAAAUUUGAGCCAGUGGAUCACCGAGAAUUGCCCUCAUUUGGAGAAGUGGGCACAGGCUCACGACACCGGGGCUCGGUAUGGAAUAAUGACCAGCAACAUGUCAGAGGUGUACAAUGGUGUUCUUAAAGGGGUGCGAGCACUGCCUAUCACAACCCUAAUUGAAGAAACUUGGAACCGGACCCUGUCAUACUUUGCAGACAGGGUCACCGUCGCCAAAGCACAAGUUGAAUUGAACAAG